AAGCGAAUAACAAGAUGGAGAGGAAGGAUGUUGCCAAGUUCAUGGAUAUUACGGACCCUAGUCUAGACCGCAUGGAUACUGUCGUUCGUCGAGAGUGUAGACCCGAACCGGUCCGAGCAGGACAAUCAGCUCAUCGACGAGAUGCUGCAGUACAACAGUAAUCACCCGGAGGAUCCAGGAUCUGGAUCUCUUGGGGGAUCAGAUGGGGGACAGAGCCGUGGCUCCCAUGAAUCCCUUCACACAGACGCCCCCACACACGCUCGUACAGACACAGACACCGCCGCUGCUCCAGCCGCAACCGCAGCCGAUCACACAGAUGCAGAUGGUGAUGAUCAUGCCGGCCACCACACCGUCACACCACUUCAUCCAGAGUCAGAUGCAGUCCACUGCUCCAGUCCACACCGCACCGCAGC